UGAUGAUGAUAAUGAUGAUGAUCAUGAUCAUGAUCAUGAUCAUGAUCAUGAUCAUGAUCAUGAUCAUGAUCAUGAUCAUGAUCAUGAUGA
rnacentral:pre_miRNA from 1 species